rnacentral:rRNA from 1 species
AGAGUUUGAUCAUGGCUCAGAUUGAACGCUGGCGGCAGGCCUAACACAUGCAAGUCGAACGGUAACAGGAAACAGCUUGCUGUUUCGCUGACGAGUGGCGGACGGGUGAGUAAUGUCUGGGAAACUGCCUGAUGGAGGGGGAUAACUACUGGAACCGGUAGCUAAUACCGCAUAACGUCGCAAGACCAAAGAGGGGGACCUUCGGGCCUCUUGCCAUCAGAUGUGCCCAGAUGGGAUUAGCUAGUAGGUGGGGUAACGGCUCACCUAGGCGACGAUCCCUAGCUGGUCUGAGAGGAUGACCAGCCACACUGGAACUGAGACACGGUCCAGACUCCUACGGGAGGCAGCAGUGGGGAAUAUUGCACAAUGGGCGCAAGCCUGAUGCAGCCAUGCCGCGUGUAUGAAGAAGGCCUUCGGGUUGUAAAGUACUUUCAGCGGGGAGGAAGGGAGUAAAGUUAAUACCUUUGCUCAUUGACGUUACCCGCAGAAGAAGCACCGGCUAACUCCGUGCCAGCAGCCGCGGUAAUACGGAGGGUGCAAGCGUUAAUCGGAAUUACUGGGCGUAAAGCGCACGCAGGCGGUUUGUUAAGUCAGAUGUGAAAUCCCCGGGCUCAACCUGGGAACUGCAUCUGAUACUGGCAAGCUUGAGUCUCGUAGAGGGGGGUAGAAUUCCAGGUGUAGCGGUGAAAUGCGUAGAGGUCUGGAGGAAUACCGGUGGCGAAGGCGGCCCCCUGGGCGAAGACUGACGCUCAGGUGCGAAAGCGUGGGGAGCAAACAGGAUUAGAUACCCUGGUAGUCCACGCCGUAAACGAUGUCGACUUGGAGGUUGUGCCCUUGAGGCGUGGCUUCCGGAGCUAACGCGUUAAAUCGACCGCCUGGGGAGUACGGCCGCAAGGUUAAAACUCAAAUGAAUUGACGGGGGCCCGCACAAGCGGUGGAGCAUGUGGUUUAAUUCGAUGCAACGCGAAGAACCUUACCUGGUCUUGACAUCCACGGAAGUUUUCAGAGAUGAGAAUGUGCCUUCGGGAACCGUGAGACAGGUGCUGCAUGGCUGUCGUCAGCUCGUGUUGUGAAAUGUUGGGUUAAGUCCCGCAACGAGCGCAACCCUUAUCCUUUGUUGCCAGCGGUCCGGCCGGGAACUCAAAGGAGACUGCCAGUGAUAAACUGGAGGAAGGUGGGGAUGACGUCAAGUCAUCAUGGCCCUUACGACCAGGGCUACACACGUGCUACAAUGGCGCAUACAAAGAGAAGCGACCUCGCGAGAGCAAGCGGACCUCAUAAAGUGCGUCGUAGUCCGGAUUGGAGUCUGCAACUCGACUCCAUGAAGUCGGAAUCGCUAGUAAUCGUGGAUCAGAAUGCCACGGUGAAUACGUUCCCGGGCCUUGUACACACCGCCCGCCACACCAUGGGAGUGGGUUGCGAAAGAAGUAGGUAGCUUAACCUUCGGGAGGGCGCUUACCACUUUGUGAUUCAUGACUGGGGUGAAGUCGAAACAAGGUAACCGUAGGGGAACCUGCGGUUG